rnacentral:rRNA from 1 species
GACGAACCGUGCGAACGUUGUUCGGAAUCAUUGGGCUUAAAGGGCGCGUAGGCGGGCUGGCCAGUCCGGGGUGAAAGCCCACGGCUCAACCGUGGAAGUGCCUUGGAUACUGCCAGUCUCGAGGGAGGUAGGGGCGUGCGGAACUUCCGGUGGAGCGGUGAAAUGCGUAGAUAUCGGGAGGAACACCGGUGGCGAAGGCGGCUCUCUGGACCUGUCCUGACGCUGAGGCGCGAAAGCUAGGGGAGCGAACAGG